CCCUCCCUUUCCCCUCACCAUAACCGCCGGUCUCUACUCUCUCUCACACUCCAAAUUUCACAAUUUUUCCUCCACCAUUUUCUUGCUCCAAUUCACACCAAAUUCACCACACAAGCUCAAGACAACUUGGACAAUCACUUGGACAAAGAAGGAGCUGCACAUCCACGGAUUUUCUUGGGGCUUUUGGGACACCAAAAUCUGACCUUUUAGCACACAAGAGUUGGUGAAGAGCACAAUCUCGAUCAAAGUUUGGAAUUCUAGACACUUCACUUGAGGUUCUGAAAUGCAUGAAGUCUUGGAGAACUAGA